UACGAAGGGGGCUAGCGUUGCUCGGAAUCACUGGGCGUAAAGCGCACGUAGGCGGCUCUUUAAGUCAGGGGUGAAAUCCCGGAGCUCAACUCCGGAACUGCCUUUGAUACUGGGGAUCUUGAGUUCGAGAGAGGUGAGUGGAACUGCGAGUGUAGAGGUGAAAUUCGUAGAUAUUCGCAAGAACACCAGUGGCGAAGGCGGCUCCCUGGCUCGAUACUGACGCUGAGGUGCGAAAGCGUGGGGAGCAAACAGG
rnacentral:rRNA from 1 species